rnacentral:piRNA from 1 species
UCCUGCUCUUGGUUCAGUCGACUCAAGCCC